rnacentral:rRNA from 1 species
AACGAACGCUGGCGGCAUGCCUAACACAUGCAAGUCGAACGAGACCUUCGGGUCUAGUGGCGCACGGGUGCGUAACGCGUGGGAAUCUGCCCUUCGGUUGGGAAUAACUGAGAGAAAUUUCAGCUAAUACCUUAUAAUGUCUUCGGACCAAAGAUUUAUCGCCGAGGGAUGAGCCCGCGUAGGAUUAGGUAGUUGGUGGGGUAACGGCCUACCAAGCCGACGAUCCUUAGCUGGUCUGAGAGGAUGAUCAGCCACACUGGGACUGAGACACGGCCCAGACUCCUACGGGAGGCAGCAGUGGGGAAUAUUGGACAAUGGGCGAAAGCCUGAUCCAGCAAUGCCGCGUGAGUGAUGAAGGCCUUAGGGUUGUAAAGCUCUUUUACCCGGGAUGAUAAUGACAGUACCGGGAGAAUAAGCGCCGGCUAACUCCGUG